rnacentral:rRNA from 1 species
UUGGAGGGCAAGUCUGGUGCCAGCAGCCGCGGUAAUUCCAGCUCCAAUAGCGUAUAUUAAAGUUGUUGCAGUCAAAAAGCUCGUAGUUGAAUUUCGGGGUCAGUAGGUUGGUCAUGCCACUGGUAUGUACUGGCCUCACUGAUUCCUCCUUCCUGAUGAGCCGUAAUGCCAUUAAUUUGGUGUUGCGAGGAAUCUGGACUGUUACUUUGAAAAAAUUAGAGUGUUUAAAGCAGGCUAACGCUUGAAUACAUUAGCAUGGAAUAAUGAAAUAGGACGUUCGAUCUUAUUUUGUUGGUUUCUAAGAUUGACGUAAUGAUUAAUAGGGAUAGUUGGGGGCAUUAGUAUUCAAUUGUCAGAGGUGAAAUUCUUGGAUUUAUUGAAGACUAACUACUGCGAAAGCAUUUGCCAAGGAUGUUUUCAUUAAUCAAGAACGAAAGUUAGGGGAUCGAAGACGAUCAGAUACCGUCGUAGUCUUAACCAUAAACUAUGCCGACUAGGGAUCGGAUGAUGUUAAUUUUUUAAUGACUCAUUCGGCGCCUUACGGGAAAC